CAAAGGCAAGGGAGAGGAGUGGGACAAGGACAAGGGCAAGGGAGAGGAGUGGGACAAGGACAAGGGCAAGGGAGUGGAGUGGAAAUGCGUGGUGGUGCUCAAAGAAGGCCAAGAGCUAGGGUAACUAAUGAAAUAAGAGCUACUAUAAUAGACCAUGUCAUAAACCACGGGCUAUCAUACAGAGAGGCUGGUGAACGAGUACAGCCAAAUCUCAGCCGGGACAUGGUGGCAUCAAUUGUUCGGAUUUUUAGAGAAACCAACAGGUAGGAUAUUGCUUCUCCUACUGCAAAGUGUAAAUAAUUGUACCAUGUAUUACAGUGACUGUGUGCCUCCGGUCUCUAAUAUGUAACUGUAUUUUGUCCCUCUAAGGACUCAACGUCUACCUCCCU